rnacentral:rRNA from 1 species
CGCUAAAGGAGCGGCCGAUGUCUGAUUAGUUAGUUGGUGGGGUAAAGGCCUACCAAGGCAACGAUCAGUAGCUGGUCUGAGAGGACGAUCAGCCACACUGGGACUGAGACACGGCCCAGACUCCUACGGGAGGCAGCAGUGGGGAAUUUUGGACAAUGGGCGAAAGCCUGAUCCAGCCAUGCCGCGUGAAUGAAGAAGGCCUUCGGGUUGUAAAGUUCUUUUAGUUGGAAAGAAGAAAUUAUGAUGAAUAAUCAUAAUUCAUGACGGUACCGACAGAAAAAGCACCGGCUAACUACGUGCCAGCAGCCGCGGUAAUACGUAGGGUGCAAGCGUUAAUCGGAAUUACUGGGCGUAAAGGGUGUGCAGGCGGCCUUGUAAGUCAGAUGUGAAAGCCCCGGGCUUAACCUGGGAAUUGCGUUUGAAACUACAAAGCUAGAAGGG